ACUCCCUCACACUUUAACCACACACACUUCCCUUCAUUCUCGGUGAGAAAAAAAAAACCGUGUUCUUCAUUCCUCUUGGAACCCAUCAACAACGCUUACUGGGAGAUGAACGAGCUUGGACUUUGACGCGCAAUUAAACGAAGGGUUUCGUGUGCGUCAUCUUCGGCGAGAGUCCAUUCGCCUUUCGCACACGGGACAAUGAAAAAGCCAACAUUUUUGGCACAAGUUGAAGAUGGAAGGACCUCUAAUGACAUUUGUGUUUCACCACGGCAAAAAAUUUAAAACUGACGCUAAGGGAAGAAUGAUUUAUGAACCUGAAUCACACAGAGGUGUUAAUAGGUGUUGAAGCAGAUAAACAUAUUUUAUGUGAAAGGAUAUUAUAAAGAGUUGGGGUAUGUUAAGGCAGACAAUUGUGUUUGGAAGGUUCCUUGGUUAUCUCACUCCCUCCACCACCUGUAGCUGAGCAAAACGCUCCAAAUGAGCUUAUGAUAAACAGACAGAUGGCUUUCUAUCAACAUAACACACACAAAACUCACAACAGAUUAUAGACUUCUAAAUUGUAAAAAGUAAAUGUUGUUAUUUAUUUUUUGUACCUAAAAUUAUUGCUGAAUGUUGGAUGAAGUUGCUGCUGAAAUUAUGCAAGAAAAUGAUACAAAGCCACCAAAACUGAAAGUUGUUAAGGGAAGUGAUACGAGUUCUGUGGAACAAACUGAGAACUAUCAUAUGCCAGUUGGUCCAAUUACAAGAGCAACAACUAAGAGAAUAAAAGAAAGUUUUGCAAACAUGACUAAAUCAUUUGUUUAGGAGAUGCAUCAAAAAUUGGACAAGACAAUGGUUAACGAUUAUGGAAAGCCAAACGUCUUACUAUUUACAAGUUACAUUGAAGACUCUCGUUAGUCAAGUUGAAUCAAAUAGGCAUCACUUUCUUAGUAUU